rnacentral:rRNA from 1 species
GAGUUUGAUCAUGGCUCAGAGUGAACGCUGGCGGUAGGCCUAACACAUGCAAGUCGAACGGCAGCACAGUAAGAGCUUGCUCUUACGGGUGGCGAGUGGCGGACGGGUGAGGAAUACAUCGGAAUCUACUUUUCGUGGGGGAUAACGUAGGGGAAACUUACGCUAAUACCGCAUACGACCUACGGGUGAAAGCAGGGGAUCUUCGGACCUUGCGCGAUUGAAUGAGCCGAUGUCGGAUUAGCUAGUUGGCGGGGUAAAGGCCACCAAGGCGACGAUCCGUAGCUGGUCUGAGAGGAUGAUCAGCCACACUGGAACUGAGACACGGUCCCAGACUCCUACGGGAGGCAGCAGUGGGGAAUAUUGGACAAUGGGCGCAAGCCUGAUCCAGCCAUACCGCGUGGGUGAAG